rnacentral:rRNA from 1 species
AUACGUAGGUGGCGAGCGUUGUCCGGAAUUACUGGGCGUAAAGCGUGCGCAGGCGGUUUUGUAAGACAGAGGUGAAAUCCCCGGGCUCAACCUGGGAACUGCCUUUGUGACUGCAAGGCUAGAGUACGGGAGAGAGGGAUGGAAUUCCGCGGGGAGCAGUGAAAUGCGUAGAUAUGCGGAGGAACACCGAUGGCGAAGGCAAUCCCCUGGGCCUGUACUGACGCUCAUGCACGAAAGCGUGGGGAGCAAACAGGAUUAGAUACCCUGGUAGUCCACGCCCUAAACGAUGUCAACUGGUUGUUGGGUCUUUAUUGACUCAGUAACGAAGCUAACGCGUGAAGUUGACCGCCUGGGGAGUACGGCCGCAAGGUUGAAACUCAAAUGAAUUGACGGGG